rnacentral:rRNA from 1 species
GUGGGGAAUAUUGNCNCANUGGGGGGAACCCUGACGCAGCCAUGCCGCGUGAAUGAAGAAGGCCUUAGGGUUGUAAAGUUCUUUCGGUAUUGAGGAAGGUUGAUGUGUUAAUAGCACAUCAAAUUGACGUUAAAUACAGAAGAAGCGCCGGCUAACUCCGUGCCAGCAGCCGCGGUAAUACGGAGGGUGCGAGCGUUAAUCGGAAUAACUGGGCGUAAAGGGCACGCAGGCGGUUAUUUAAGUGAGGUGUGAAAGCCCCGGGCUUAACCUGGGAAUUGCAUUUCAGACUGGGUAACUAGAGUACUUUAGGGAGGGGUAGAAUUCCACGUGUAGCGGUGAAAUGCGUAGAGAUGUGGAGGAAUACCGAAGGCGAAGGCAGCCCCUUGGGAAUGUACUGACGCUCAUGUGCGAAAGCGUGGGGAGCAAACAGGAUUAGAUACCCUGGUAGUCCACGCUGUAAACGCUGUCGAUUUGGGGGUUGGGGUUUAACUCUGGCGCCCGUAGCUAACGUGAUAAAUCGACCGCCUGGGGAGUACGGCCGCAAGGUUA